CUUUCAGACCUGUGCAACGGUGCUUUCAGGUACCGAGUCAGGAUGGGAACAUAGCAGCUCACUUGGUUGCAUUGUGUGCCGCAGGUAUCUGGAAGGGA
rnacentral:SRP_RNA from 1 species